UUCUGCGUCGUUGUCCGCGUCGACGUGUAUGCAGACCACUAGGAGGCAGUGUCCGCGGUCAUGUUGAGUGUCAAAACAAAAGCCGAAGAAGAAGCAGCUCGUCAUGUUGUCAGAGAAGCUUACAAACAGAAACGGCAGAGAAGCGGCAAAUAGUGUGCAGAGCAGGUGGCCAAAAGGAUGAGCUGCCAACUGCUGGCGUAAUGAAGCACACCUGAUGCGUAUACUGCCUUCCCACUAUCAGAGUAGAGAUCGCUGCAGCAUCAGUUGAAGUGGCACGUGAACCGAUCAUCUCUUCCUACUAGUAAUAAACAUGAAUUAACAUUUGAAGGACAGCGAGGAUCCUGAUGUUGGGGUAACUCCUGGGGGAAGAGUUCCAGGUCUCUCCAGGCCUGGCAUGGCAGCUGGCCUGACUGUCGGCAUGUGGCUAAUGGAAUGCCUGAACCCAUCUGGAACUCUCUUCAUCCUCCCUCCCACCCAUUCCCAAGGCCAGCUCAAGCUUCCAUACGCCCACCUGAGUCUCCCAGGAUUGCCCGUAACAUGGCGUAGCCCACUGAGGCCACUGCAGUGUGGGGUUCUGGCUAAAUACGGAAACCCGGCUCGACACCUGAGGAACAACUGAAGCACAGAGUCGCUCCUUGCUCGGUUUAUGUUUUUAUUUUAUUGGACAAUAAUACAUUUAGUACAUGGUAUUUAUUAUAAUAUUAAAUGGAUAGUUCCCAAUAUUUUAUGAAGUAAAAUACUACUUUUUUUGUUAAAGAAUAUUGCAUAUACUACCCAGCAGUGGCAGAUGCAGAAAGUGGAAGAUGAUUGGGCCACUAAUAGUGUGUGUGGGCCCGAAUAAUUAGACCUCCCCCCUCCCCCCAAUUGUGAUGCAAUGUGCUACAAUGAAUGCUUCAACACAACAUCAUCAUGCACUCCUUCAGAAAGACAAAUGUUCCAGUUUAUAAAGUUUAAUUUAAUGUGUCUAGUGUGAACAGCCUCAAAUAGUCACAAAAUGCUCUUGGUGCAGAUUCGAUGGAUUUAUUAUAAGCGAUUUGCUCGCAUUCGCUGUAGACUGAAUGUUGCUUACUUAUUUGCUUAUGUAAUAGACGUGGGCCAUGUGCAUGUAAACCUCACUCCCUGAUCUCAAGAGGAGCUUUAGCGACUGAUGAAAGAGUCUUUAGCAUCCUUUUUAGAGGGCCCGACUCCCAUGCCAGCGGACCAGGGUUCGAGUCCCGCUUAGAGUAGGCAUUUCGAACAGGAGGGGUUACAUUGGUGCCAUGACCCGGAUGGGAGUGAGGUUUAGGAGGCGAGUGUAAUGGACGUAGGCCGGUAAGAGCUGUGUGUGUAAGCCUCACUCCCCUGAUCUAAAGAGGCACUCUAGAGACUUUGGUCUUUAGCCUCUUUGUUAGUGCGCCCAACUCCCAUACUGGCGGACCCAGGUUCGAGUCCCGCUUAGAGCAGAUGGUUCGAAUAGGAGGAGUUACACUUACUCAUGACACAUAGCAACACAGCUAAAAGUAUUCCUCAUAUUUUGGACCUUUUAUUGUUUUUUAAUAUAGUCUACUUCUAUUUGUUUAGACAUGCUUUCUCAAGCCCCCGUAUGAGCUGUGGUUAUGAUGUUUGAGUUGGGAGAGGCUCAUGCGCGAUGCAUGGAAAUGCCAUUUGCAAGGUUAGUUGAUUUUUGAAUUUCUGCUAGGUGCCACUAGUGUCGCAGAAACUACAUACAUCACCUUUAGCGCUGAAAAUAAAAACAAGGCAGGAAAGAGAGAGGCAGAACUAUAUUGCGAAGAGAAAUCACAAUGUCUGAAUCCUGUAUCGACAACCUGCCAUUGCUAAUACAGUAGCUUAUGUACAUUUCAGAAAACCCCUUGCUUACAAAUAUUAAAUGCAAAAAUUGCAUAACCAUGCCAGGACUGGCUACACUAAAAAUCUACCCAUAGCUUACCUAGUAUGGCUGAUGUCUGUUCUAAACAAGUACAAACGAGGGUACUUUCUAACCUUUUUGCACAAUCUUUCAUCUAUGUAGGCCUCCAUUGUUGCUGUAGCUUGCAUGUGUUCCGGUCAGUUCUGUUUAUGCAGUUUUUCUUUAACUACCUUGUGAAUCGACGCCACCAGGGCAUGGUCGCCACUAAUUACUGCAAAAAAUAAAUAAAUAUGCAUGUGCAACCUGCGCAUACAAAGUAGGUGCCGUUUAAAAAAAUCUGGUGGUGCGUGUACACUUCUGAUGGCGAAAUUCGCAUUGCACACUGUACACUGACCCUCAAAAAAAAAAAAAGAGAGAAUACGUUGGGCUUUAGAUGUUAGUAAUAUCGUCGUAAUUCUAAGUGUCUGUUAGUUCUCUUUCAAAAGAAAAAUGUCAAGUUAUUACGCUCUCCGGUCAUCUUUCUGUAGACGUCUUUCAUUCUUAAGUCAUAGAUAGUGGUUUAGCGAUUUUUGUAAUAACAUGAAAGUUGGAAUUCGGAUAUUGACGAAAAGAAGAACGUAACAUUACUACUGCCGUGACGUAACUGAAGAGACAACUUAGCAUAUUCUUUUUAAUAUUAGGAUAGAGUUCUAAUGCAUGACAAAACAAAUCACAUUUUAAAAAAUUAUUAAAGAAUUGUUAAACAUUAGAAAAUUGAAUUAUUAAAAAAAGAAUGAA